GAUGAACGCUGGCGGCGUGCUUAACACAUGCAAGUCGAACGAAAAAUCAUUGAAAGCUUGCUGAUAUGAUUUUUAGUGGCGGACGGGUGAGUAACGCGUGAGGACUUAUCUUAUACAGGGGGACAACAGUUGGAAACGGCUGCUAAUACCCCAUAAGCCUUCGGGUAAAAGGAGUAAUCCGGUAUUAGAGAGACUCGCGUCCUAUCAGCUAGUAGGUGAGGUAACGGCUCACCUAGGCGAAGACGGGUAGCCGGCCUGAGAGGGCGAACGGCCACACUGGAACUGAGACACGGUCCAGACUCCUACGGGAGGCAGCAGUGGGGAAUAUUGGGCAAUGGGGGCAACCCUGACCCAGCGACGCCGCGUGAGUGAAGAAAUCCCUCGGGAUGUAAAGCUCUGUUGUGUGGGAAGAUAAUGACGGAACCACACGAGGAAGCCCCGGCAAACUACGUGCCAGCCGCCGCAGUAA
rnacentral:rRNA from 1 species